AAGGUAAGCACCAAUUUUCAAGUUCAAUAGUGCCCUUUUCACCUGUUUGCUAUUACCUGGGGCAUCAUUUGUUCAUUUACCCAACAGAGUAAGCCAGAUGGUAGCACCAAACUUCUGGCUGGGGUGGGUUGUUAUGCAACAAUAGAUAACUGAUAUUGUGACCACGUGGCUGCCUGGGGCACUCCAGCUUUGGAGCUUAGCUGGGAGGGAAUGGAAAUCAGCAAGGGAGGUGACCUAUUCUUGAAUAGACCAUGGUAGUUGUACUAGGAAUGUAAUCACCCAGUGGAUUCUUCCUGCCUGUUGCACAGACCAAAUCAAUUCACCAACACCAUAGCAUUGCAGUAGAGAACGAGUUUGAUUGAAGUGAGGCCUGCCCACAUGGGAGAGUUGAGUUAUCACUCAAACCAGUAUCCCUGAAGUCUCAGAGGUUAGGGUUUUUAUGGCAAAUUUGGUGGGCAGGGGACUAGAGAAUGGGUGCUGCUGAUUGGUUGGGGGGUGAAAUCACAAGGAUGUGGAAAAUGCUCCACAUCCAUUGAGUCACAGGAUCAGUUGAGUCAUUAGUUACAAGUCUGGGUGGGGUUGUCUGAAAGAUAUCUCAAAAAUCCAAUCUUAGGUUCUACAAUA
rnacentral:lncRNA from 1 species